UCUAGUAUAGCAAUCUAUACCGUGAAACUGCGAAUGGCUCAUUAAAUCAGUUAUCGUUUAUUUGAUAGUACCUUACUACUUGGAUAACCGUGGUAAUUCUAGAGCUAAUACAUGCUAAAAGCCUCGACUUCGGAAGGGGCGUAUUUAUUAGAUAAAAAACCAAUGCCCUUCGGGGCUCUCUGGUGAUUCAUAAUAACUUAACGAAUCGCAUGGCCUUGUGCCGGCGAUGGUUCAUUCAAAUUUCUGCCCUAUCAACUUUCGAUUGUAAGGUCUUGGCUUACAAUGGUUUCAACGGGUAACGGGGAAUUAGGGUUCUAUUCCGGAGAGGGAGCCUGAGAAACGGCUACCACUACCAAGGAAGGCAGCAGGCGCGCAAAUUACCCAAUCCCGACACGGGGAGGUAGUGACAAUAAAUACUGAUACAGGGCUCUUUUGGGUCUUGUAAUUGGAAUGAGUACAAUUUAAAUCCCUUAACGAGGAACAAUUGGAGGGCAAGUCUGGUGCCAGCAGCCGCGGUAAUUCCAGCUCCAAUAGCGUAUAUUAAAGUUGUUGCAGUUAAAAAGCUCGUAGUUGAACCUUGGGCCUGGCUGGCCGGUCCGCCUCACCGCGUGCACUGGUCCGGCCGGGCCUUUCCUCCUGGGGAGCCGCAUGCCCUUCACUGGGUGUGCCGGGGAACCAGGACUUUUACUUUGAAAAAAUUAGAGUGUUCAAAGCAGGCCUAUGCUCGAAUACAUUAGCAUGGAAUAAUAGAAUAGGACGUGUGGUUCUAUUUUGUUGGUUUCUAGGACCGCCGUAAUGAUUAAUAGGGAUAGUCGGGGGCAUCAGUAUUCAAUUGUCAGAGGUGAAAUUCUUGGAUUUAUUGAAGACUAACUACUGCGAAAGCAUUUGCCAAGGAUGUUUUCAUUAAUCAGUGAACGAAAGUUAGGGGAUCGAAGACGAUCAGAUACCGUCGUAGUCUUAACCAUAAACUAUGCCGACU
rnacentral:rRNA from 1 species